UGAUGAUAAGUUUAGAACCUAUCCCAGUAGGCGUAAUCGUUAAAGCCAGUUUGGCGAAUAAAAGAGUCUAAUGGGAUAGGCUCUUAAUAAACAACAAAACCAAACGUACUUUCAGAUUUCAGGCUGGAAUGCGCACAGCUGAUUGUUGAUAAGGGCUACUCAUACCGACAGGCCAGUGAAGCGAUGAAUGUCGGUUCCACAUACCGGUCUGAGGUAUCAACAACAACAUGUUCUGAGUGGUAGCGUUUGCGUUAUAUCGUCACAGACAGCGCCUCAGGGCGCUGUUUU
rnacentral:sRNA from 1 species